rnacentral:sRNA from 1 species
CCAACGCACACAUGGCACGCCCCCUGCAUUAACCUGAACAACACACACAUUACGUGCGGUCUUCAAUGGCGAAGGCGGCAUUUCCCGGUUUACGGGAGCGGACAAAGGCGUCCUCGUCAGGCUACUGGCGAGGGCGCU